UUGCCUUAGUACGGCGAGUGAAGCGGCAAAAGCUCAAAUUUGAAAUCUAGCACUUUCAGUGUUCGAGUUGUAAUUUGAAGAAGGUAACUUUGGAAUUGGCUCUUGUCUAUGUUCCUUGGAACAGGACGUCACAGAGGGUGAGAAUCCCGUGCGAUGAGAUGUCCAAUUCUAUGUAAAGUGCUUUCGAAGAGUCGAGUUGUUUGGGAAUGCAGCUCUAAGUGGGUGGUAAAUUCCAUCUAAAGCUAAAUAUUGGCGAGAGACCGAUAGCGAACAAGUACAGUGAUGGAAAGAUGAAAAGAACUUUGAAAAGAGAGUGAAAAAGUACGUGAAAUUGUUGAAAGGGAAGGGCUUGAGAUCAGACUUGGUAUUUUGUGUUCCUUAUUCUUUUUGGAUUUGGUUCCUCACAGCUUACCGGGCCAGCAUCGGUUUGGAUGGUAGGAUAAUGACAUUGGAAUGUAGCUUUGCUUCGGUGAAGUGUUAUAGACUUUGUUGAUACUGCCUAUCUAGACCGAGGACUGCGUCUUUGACUAGGAUGCUGGCGUAAUGAUCUUAAGCCGCCCGUCUUGAACACCGGACCAA
rnacentral:rRNA from 1 species